UGCAGUCGAACGGCAGCACGGGUGCUUGCACCUGGUGGCGAGUGGCGUACGGGUGAGUAAUAUAUCGGAACGUGCCCUAGAGUGGGGGAUAACGUAGCGAAAGUUACGCUAAUACCGCAUACGAUCUAUGGAUGAAAGUGGGGGAUCGCAAGACCUCAUGCCCCUGGAGCGGCCGAUAUCUGAUUAGCUAGUUGGUGGGGUAAAAGCCUACCAAGGCGACGAUCAGUAGCUGGUCUGAGAGGACGACCAGCCACACUGGGACUGAGACACGGCCCAGACUCCUACGGGAGGCAGCAGUGGGGAAUUUUGGACAAUGGGGGAAACCCUGAUCCAGCAAUGCCGCGUGUGUGAAGAAGGCCUUCGGGUUGUAAAGCACUUUUGUCAGGAACGAAACGGUGGGAGCUAAUACCUCCUGCUAAUGACGGUACCUGAAGAAUAAGCACCGGCUAACUACGUGCCAGCAGCCGCGGUAAUACGUAGGGUGCGAGCGUUAAUCGGAAUUACUGGGCGUAAAGCGUGCGCAGGCGGUUGUGCAAGACAGAUGUGAAAUCCCCGGGCUUAACCUGGGAAUUGCAUUUGUGACUGCACGGCUAGAGUGUGUCAGAGGGGGGUAGAAUUCCACGUGUAGCAGUGAAAUGCGUAGAUAUGUGGAGGAAUACCGAUGGCGAAGGCAGCCCCCUGGGAUAACACUGACGCUCAUGCACGAAAGCGUGGGGAGCAAACAGGAUUAGAUACCCUGGUAGUCCAUGCCCUAAACGAUGUCUACUAGUUGUCGGGUCUUAAUUGACUUGGUAACGCAGCUAACGCGUGAAGUAGACCGCCUGGGGAGUACGGUCGCAAGAUUAAAC
rnacentral:rRNA from 1 species